ensembl:antisense 2010310C07Rik RIKEN cDNA 2010310C07 gene
AUACUUGGGGAUCAGGCCUUUGGGAAACAACUUGGAUUAGAUGCCAUCACCAGGGAGCAAAAGGGAGUGGAGAAGCUGUGAGCCGGUGUUGCUUGCUUAGCCUGCGUUAUAUGAAAGAGGUUGGAAAAUGAGUAUAAGAAGCUACAAAAGGGAGAUCUCACAACAAAGUUAAAAAACAUCGCUGCACAACCACUUUAAUAUUUCAGUUCAUUUCUGCCUCAUCGGAGUGUGAGAGUGGGCAAGUCAGUACUGUGAAGAAGCAAUGGUUCAGAUUCCUUGUGGUAAUAAUACUUGUGUCCGUCUUGUGAGAAACCCUGCUUUCCUUCCCUGUCUUGUUUGCAUGACAGCCUGAGAAGACAGCAAUGCCAACCUGAAGAAUUAACGUGUGGCUUUUAGUAACACCCAAGCAGGUAGUGAGUGGGAGGAAAAGGAAGAGAGCAGAUGUCUUAGUGAACCCAGGCAUGUUAAAAAUUUAAUAAGGGCAGGCCGAGGCAAGUGCUAAACACAACCCCCUAGGAACACAGUGAGAUCUUGGUCAUUGUCAAAAGUUUACUAGUUAGAUCUUGGGAGAGGAAAGGAGAAUGGCAAAUUGAUUCUGGUUUAAAGUUGAUUUUUAGUUUAGCAAGCAUGGGAGGUGAGAGGGCUAAAAUAAACUGCCAACUAUUUCUCCCAGGUUAGUAGAGUUUACUUCUAGAAUGUGUUGCCAGUCUAGGCUGGAAUCUCUAGGGAAUUCACUUCUACAGAGAGCCAGGAAGAAAAUUGGCAUAAGCCACCCUGAGUUCUGGGCCAGCCUUGCCUACACAGUGAUUUCUAGGACAGCCAAGGCUAGACGGGGAAACCCUGUCUGAAGAACCAAAACCAGUCCCCCAACUCCCAAAUUGAAAAAGACUUAGAAGUGUGAGACCUUUCAUUUGAGCAUAGGUUGAAUUUCUUUCAAUUUUUGAUCUGAAGAAGUUUUUAAUCAAACAGUUCUAACAGAUACCUUUAAAUUUUAUCUUCGUUGCCUUUCUUUGGCUGUGGUGUGAGUAAGGCAGCUUACAGAAGAAGCGGUUUUAUUUUGGAGCUAAAGGUUGGAGUCCACCGUGGCAGCUAGUGGCUAGCUGGGGCAGUGGCUGAGAGCUCCCAUCUGGGACACCAAACGGGAAGCAGAGAGUGAACUUGAACUGGUGCGAAUCCUUACUAGUCUCAAGUCUGCUCUGGUGACAUCCUUCCUCGGGCUGCACUGAUAAUUCGUCCCACAGAGCCACCCACUAAGGAGCCUGUAUUCAAAUGUCUGAGACUUCUGAGGGACAUCUCAUUCAAAUGAUCACAAAUUUAUAAGUUAUUGUUAUAUAUACUAUAUAUUAUAAACACAUUUUAUAUACUAUUACAGAUGCAUUUUAUAUAUAUUUCAAAUGCUAUUAUAAAGUUACUACUAUACAUACUAUAAAUUACAUAUAUUCUAUAUACAGUUUCAAAGUUACUAUUCUAUAGACACACCUAUGCAUACACAUUUGCAAAUAAAGACAAUAACAACUGCUGGUAAAAAACCAAUGUACAACUUUCUAAAUCUAUCCCUGAGCUUCAGAGUCCCCCAUUACUCCCCAAACCAGGCCAUACAGUCUGAGAGCCACCUAGUGAUCAAGGUUGGUAACUGCAGCUGCUCUUUAGCACUCUAGGUAUUCCAGCCAUUGAAAUUUGUUUACAAAAAUCAGGGAAUACCAGGUAAACACUUUUCAAUGUUAGUGAUAGGACUUUCGCGUAUUAUCAUGAUUAUAAAGAUGGGUAGGCUGUGAGGCAGAAAGCUUUCUUGAUUUCCUCAUCUCAAUAAGAACGGCCUUCCAACCAGGCCAGGAAGGAAAGGAGUUUUCUGCAAAGCAGCUUAACUGUUGAACCCGUGGCUUCAAAGACAACAAAAAAGCAGAGAACAAGUGGUUGAGGAAGUGCCCGCUGAGAUAAAAGGGCUGACCUGUCGGCUGUUUGUGCUCCACUUUCCUCAGGAGAGGGUGGUUUACAAGGCUGGAGUAUUCUCAUUCUAACUAACCUCUGGGCCCGGCAAACUUAGCGUUCUUUUUCUUCCUCCACCCCCACCCCCACUUCAUUUUCUUUCUUACUGAUUUCCGGUCCUCCUUCCUCCCUCCCUUUUCUUUUGUAAAUUCCCUUUCUUCCCUCCUUGUUUGGAAUUCCAGUAUAAUAAAGUAAAAGGAAGGCCCGAACCCUG